UACAGAGGUCCCAAGCGUUGUUCGGAUUCAUUGGGCGUAAAGGGUGCGUAGGUGGCGCGCUAAGUCAGGUGUGAAAUUUCGGAGCUUAACUCCGAAACUGCAUUUGAUACUGGCGUGCUUGAGGACUGGAGAGGAGACUGGAAUUUACGGUGUAGCAGUGAAAUGCGUAGAGAUCGUAAGGAAGACCAGUGGCGAGGGCGGGUCUCUGGACAGUUCCUGACACUGAGGCACGAAGGCCAGGGGAGCAAACGGG
rnacentral:rRNA from 1 species